rnacentral:rRNA from 1 species
CCUACGGGAGGCAGCAGUAGGGAAUAUUGGGCAAUGGGCGAAAGCCUGACCCAGCGACGCCGCGUGAGGGAUGAAGGUCUUCGGAUUGUAAACCUCUUUCAGUAGGGAAGAAGCGAAAGUGACGGUACCUAAAGAAGAAGCACCGGCUAACUAUGUGCCAGCAGCCGCGGUAAUACAUAGGGUGCAAGCGUUGUCCGGAAUUAUUGGGCGUAGAGAGCUCGUAGGUCGUUUGUCGCGUCGAUUGUGAAAAUCUGAGGCUCAACCUCAGACCUGCAGUCGAUACGGGCAAACUAGAGUGUGGUAGGGGAGACUGGAAUUCCUGGUGUAGCGGUGGAAUGCGCAGAUAUCAGGAGGAACACCAAUGGCGAAGGCAGGUCUCUGGGCCAUAACUGACACUGAGGAGCGAAAGUGCGGGGAGCGAACAGGAUUAGAUACCCUGGUAGUCCGCACCGUAAACGGUGGGCACUAGUUGUGGGAACCUUCCACGGUUUCCGCGACGCAGCAAACGCAUUAAGUGCCCCGCCUGGGGAGUACGAUCGCAAGAUUAAAACUCAAAGGAAUUGACGG